UACGAAGGGUCCAAGCGUUGUUCGGAAUCAUUGGGCGUAAAGCGCGCGCAGGCGGAUCAGUAAGUCAGGUGUGAAAUCCUGGAGCUCAACUCCAGAACUGCCUUUGAUACUGAGGGUCUUGAGUUCGGGAGAGGUGAGUGGAACUGCGAGUGUAGAGGUGAAAUUCGUAGAUAUUCGGAAGAACGCCAGUGGCGAAGGCGGCUCACUGGACUGGUAUUGACGCUGAGGUGCGAAAGCGUGGGGAGCAAACAGGG
rnacentral:rRNA from 1 species